rnacentral:lncRNA from 1 species
ACUUUUAUCACCACUCAAUCCAUUCCCUUCGCAACUUCGUUAUCUACAAUAUGUUGCUAGGAGAAACAUUUCACCAGAAUGGCCACCUACUGAACGAGCUAUUUCUCUGGAUUGCCUCAUCCUUCGAGCUAUUCCAAGCUUUGAUGCCUGUAACGGUUGCAGACCAUUAGUUCGCAUUUUUGGGCGGAACCUCCAUGGAAAGGCUGGUCUUUCGACGACCAUGCUGUUUUCCAUGUCCAAGAAGAAACACUUACGACAAUAUAGACAGGUAGAAAGCCUAAUACUUAUGUUGUGACUUGCUAGGUAUAUUCAUCUAUCUCUGUGGCAACAUAAGCUGUUUUCUUUCUACAGGCCGAAUGUGAUGUCAUAAAAAUUGACAUUCAAUGCUUAGUUCAAGGAGAUGUUGUUUUAGAAUGUCUUCACCUAGAUUUGGAUGCUGAAAGGGAAAUCAUGAUGUUUCGAAUAAUGUUCAACACUGCAUUUAUUCGUUCAAACAUCUUGAUGCUGAACUGUGAAGAUAUUGAUAUUCUUUGGGGUUCAAAGGAUCGAUUUCCAAAGGGUUUUCGAGCAGAGGUAAUUAUUAUCGAGUUUAGUUGAAAUAUAUGCCUAUUCCUGUAUUCUGGUUUUCGGCGCUCUUUUCAAUAUGGCUUUUGUCAGGGGACUCCCUUUUAUUUUUUUAGGUUCUUUUUGGCGAAAUUGAAAGCGUCUCUCCUCGUAGAGCUCCAACUGCAACAUUUAAUGAAGAGGAGAAAGGUGGAUUACCUAUUGAGGCAUUCUCCAAAGUUCAAGAACUCUUUGGUGGUGUCGAAUGGGUUGAUGGUGGAGAUGAUGCUGCUUUAUGGUUGCUCAAACAGAUCUCUGCAAGUGCCUUGCAAGAAAAACUUGAAAAACUAAUCCUGAGUGAUGUUAAAGAAUUGACAAGACUCCAGACUAAAGUGGCAAGAAAGAAAUAUCUUACAUCGCCAACUGAUUCUGAAGAUGAUCUGGCUUCUGAAAACUCUGAUGUUCUUGACUCAGUGGAUGCUGGAAAGGAUCAACAAGUCACGAAUGUUUUGGAGAACCUGCCUACCAGUACUACUUCCUUGCCUUCAACUUUGAUUGAUAAAUAUCCUGUUGACAUUCUCCUGUCUCCCCCUCCUCCACCGCCAUCAUUUGAGCGACUUUCACAAGUAAAUGGUGACGAUGCCACACAGACAGCGCCAUCAGUUUCUUUUCAAGCUCCCCAAUCAGUGCAUCCCCCUCCACCUCCACCUCCACCUCCACCUCCUCCCCCUCCUCCUCCCCCACUUACACAGUUAUCUACUGCCUUGCAUACCAAAUCUUCUAGAGCACCUCCUCCUCCCCCUCCACCACCGCCACCACCGCCACCACCACCAAGACUACCGCAACCCAUUCUGCUGCAUCCUCUUUCUUCAGUGCAUGACAAAGCUUCUCCACCUUCCUCAACAGUCCCACUGCAAAAUAUGAUCAUCAAAGCUCCACCACCGCCUCCUCCUCCUCCUCCUCCUCGUCCUCCUCCACCUUCACCUCUUCCACAGAUAGUCACGUCCAGUAGGAACCCAUCUCCUCCCCCUCCUCUUGUAAGUUCUAAAAAUGUUCCACAGCCAGUACCACGACCUACAGCUAAACCUAUUAAGGAUGCACCACCUCCACCUCCACCGNNNNN